rnacentral:rRNA from 1 species
GACGAACGCUGGCGGCGUGCUUAACACAUGCAAGUCGAACGGAAAGGCCCUGCUUUUGUGGGGUGCUCGAGUGGCGAACGGGUGAGUAACACGUGAGUAACCUGCCCUUGACUUUGGGAUAACUUAGGGAAACUGGGGCUAAUACCGGAUAGGAGCUCCUGCUGCAUGGUGGGGGUUGGAAAGUUUCGGCGGUUGGGGAUGGACUCGCGGCUUAUCAGCUUGUUGGUGGGGUAGUGGCUUACCAAGGCUUUGACGGGUAGCCGGCCUGAGAGGGUGACCGGCCACAUUGGGACUGAGAUACGGCCCAGACUCCUACGGGAGGCAGCAGUGGGGAAUAUUGCACAAUGGGCGGAAGCCUGAUGCAGCAACGCCGCGUGCGGGAUGACGGCCUUCGGGUUGUAAACCGCUUUCGCCUGUGACGAAGCGUGAGUGACGGUAAUGGGUAAAGAAGCACCGGCUAACUACGUG